UGCCUACGGGGGGCAGCAGUGAGGAAUAUUGGUCAAUGGGCGAGAGCCUGAACCAGCCAAGUCGCGUGAGGGAGUACUGCCCUAUGGGUUGUAAACCUCUUUUACAAGGGAAGAAUAAAUGCUACGUGUAGCAUGAUGCCUGUACCUUAUGAAUAAGCAUCGGCUAACUCCGUGCCAGCAGCCGCGGUAAUACGGAGGAUGCGAGCGUUAUCCGGAUUUAUUGGGUUUAAAGGGUGCGUAGGCGGUUUUUUAAGUUAGUGGUUAAACGUCGGGGCUUCACCUUGAUUUGCCAUUAAUACUGUAAG
rnacentral:rRNA from 1 species